GGAUGUGAGGGUGAUAUGCCUGCAAAAUGCCACAUUGAUCAUCAGGGUUGGCUGACUGAUCUGGUUACCUGUGAGAGUGCCCCUGCCUUCUCUCAUUGGUCCAUUGCUGUCUUUCCUGAAGCCGCAUGACCUAAUACAAGAAGACCAUUCUUUGGUCAAUUGUAUAUGAAUACUGAAUUUCCCUGCUAAAAUAUCGUAACAAGUUCUCAAAAUGUUUUAAAGAUACCAGGAGGUGAGAAACACCUUACCUAUAAAGAGCAGAAAUAGUAAUUGCAUCUACUUUC
rnacentral:snRNA from 1 species